CUGUUAGGUCUAAAUGGUUUAGAGUAUUGUUCAAGUCCUCUGUUUCCUUUUUAAUCUUCUGUCUAGAUGUCUAUCCAUUAUUUAAAGAAAAGUAUUGAGACCUCUAACUAUUAUUGUAGAACUAUUUCUCCUUUCAGUUCUGUCAGUGUUUCCUUCAUAUAUUUUCUGGCUCUGUUGUUUGGUGCAUAUAUAUCUAUAAUUUUUAUAUCUUGUUGUGGAUUGACCCUUUUAACUAUAAAAUGUCUUUCCUUGUCUCUUGUACAAUUUUUUUAAUCUAAAAUCUGUAUUGUCUGAUAUUUGUAUAGCCAUGCCAGCCAGCUCUCUUUUAGCUGCUGUUUUUAUGGAUUUACAUAGUUUUGAUAGCAAAAUUCAGAUUAUGAUCUAGGCAAGUGAUGGUGGUUCAAAAAUAAAUUUUUGUCAUGUUAUUGCUUAUUUAUUUAACUGGAGUUAGUUUAAAAGUGUCAAGAAAUGUCUUAUAUGCAUAUAUAUAUUUUUUAAGUGUGUGUACUGUUUACUAUAGAAUUUAUUCUUUGGGGAUUAGGAUAUUUCUUAUAUUUCUUUGUAGCUAAAAGCUGAUACUAUAAACUUUAGUUUACUAUAUGCAUCAUGUCCCAGUUGCAUUUAUAGUCUACAUAGUCAACUAUAGUUCUCAAUCAUAUUAAUUGCUACUAGAUUAUCAUAUAUGUGUUUGUGUGUGUGUGUAUUGUAUGUGUGUGUAUUCCCUUUAAUGUAUAUUUAAAGUAGACAUCAAGUCAGUUUUAUACCCAUAGUACCCAACAGACUUACGUUUUGACUUCUAAAACUCUGGAAAUGGAGAUCACAUAUACUUCUUUCGUUGAAAAUUUACUGUAGGUUUUUAUUUGUAAAAUUCUGAGAGUGUAUUGGCUACAUGUAUGGCAUGCAUUGCUCUCCAGGUAUACCACUAUACCAAGUUGAGCACAUUUUGGUGAUACCAUUCUAUAGAAGUAAAUUGAGGAAGCUAAUUCAAUGUUAAUUUACUAUACUUUUCUAAUAUCAGUUUCUCUUUAAUUCUUUGACAGAAAAAUUUAGGUUUAGGUGGUUAAUGCAGUAUGAUUUAGAAAUAUAUGAAUCUGAUGAUUUUUUCCUUUUGGGAAAAUUAUUUUAAAGCCCAUAGUAUUUUACUGGUAAGAUUAUUUACAUUUUAAAAGUACCUGUCAUAAUACUUUGCUAAGACAAUUUAUUAUUGAAAGAACUCAUGUAUAUUUCUGGGCAAUUAUAAGGAAGUUAAGGUUGCAGAAUGAGCUGUGAAUGUUCUUACCUGUCCUCUCCCUCUAAGAGUUGUUGCUCAUUGUUUUGUUUCUCCAUGUUGCUUCUAAUUCUCUAAUAAUCCUUUAGGAUUAGUACCUAAUCCCAGCAAACAAAAAUAUUCAAGGAGUCCCUAUGGAUUAUGAUGAGGAAAAGAAAAAUUUUAUCAAGAAGAGAUGAGCUAUUAGUGAAUAAAGUACAAAGAGAGUGAGUGGGAGGACUUUUGCCACAAGAGCAGCAAAGACCAAGAAGUUGACCCUUGAACAAUGCAGCGGUAAGGGGUUCUGAGCCUCUGUGCAGUGGAAAAUCCGUGCAUAACUUUACAGUCAGUCCUCCAUAUCUGUGGUUCGACAUCCGAGGAUUCAACCAACCAUAGAUGGGAUAGUACUGUGGUAUGUAUUAUGUUUAGUGAAAGAAAUUUACGGAUAAGUGGACCCAUGCAAUUCAAACGUGUGUUGUUCAAGGGUCAGCUGUAUAUGUAUAUCAGCUCAUUGUGCUGUACACCUUAAACUUAUACAGUGCUGUAUUAUAUUCAAUGCAGCUGGCAAAGUAGAAUGGCAAAAUAAAAUUUGUGUUUAUAGGCAAAAAAAAAAAAAGAAAUAUACUUAGAUAUUUGUUGCUACUGGGAAAACUGUAACCCAAACUCAGAUAGAAAUUAUUUUCAUAUAUCCAUACUUCUAGCUCAUCCAUUAACAAUGGAUAAUCACAAAAUUAUAUCAUAAAGUAAGUACAUUUCAAUAAAUUAGUUUCAAGUCUUACAAAAAAGGAAACAUGAUAUUUUAAUAUUAGAUGGCGUUUCAUUUAUGUAGGAAAAGUUAAAUCAUUUUAUGGAAUCAGUUAACUUGAGCUCUUGAUAUCAUUGUUUAAUCAAGUGAUUCUCAAAUUUUAUUUUGCAUCAGAAUCACUUGGAGGGUUUAAGCCAUAAUUGCUGUGCUUUCUCUCCAUUGUUUCUGAUUCAGUUGCUUUGGUCUGGGGCCCAGGGAUGAACUACGUUUUUAACAAGAACUCAGGUAAUGUUGAAGCUGCUGUUCUGGGAACCAUACUUAAGAACCAACUGGCUUGGUAGAAAAAAUACCCAGGCCAAAUCAGAAGACCUGUGUUCUAGUCUCAGUGCUGAUAUUAGCUAGCUAAGUGGGAUAGUGGUCAUUUUACCUCUGUACACCUUUCUUUGAUAAGAUGGUUAUAUCUGCCCUUUCUAGCUCACAGAUUUCUUAGAAAAAUGAAAAAUAUGAUGAUAUGUUGAAAGUAAUUUGAAAAAGCUGAUUUCAAUAUGAAGUAGCCAAGAUCAUAGUAUUUGAGCUUCCUCAAUAACCAGGAGAAGAUUAUUUUAAAAUCAAGAGCUAUAAAUAUUUAUUUAUCUACCUUUGUAUUAUACUUAAAAUACAUCUACUUUCCAAGUCAGUGGACAGUCUCUAUUCAGUUAAUUUCUGGUUAACUCAUACAUAGAGCUAGAAAGUUUUUCUUUCACCAUUACCAAACUUUUCCAUCCAGUUACUUGAUCUGUUUGGGAUCUUUUAUCUAAAGCCUUCUAUUAGUUUUCAAAUUAGUUUAAGAUGUCAGCCUUGAAGGUGACUUCAGCUACCAGAUUUUUUUGUGUGUGUGAUUAAAAAUCAGAUAGGAAAAUUAGAAUUUAAUAGAUUGGAGUGUUAUUAAUUUCCUGUAUCUCAUUUAGUUUUACUAAAAUCUGCCAGACUCGGUCUCUUAAAUGAAAACAUUCAUUUCGGUACAUAUGGUGAUGAUCCUAAAAAAUAGCUGAGAUUUGAACAGGGUUUUACUGAAAAGGGUGAUUAAUUUUAGCACACCCAUUAUGAAGGUGUCUUAAAGAGUUGUUGUACAUACACUUCACAGCAAUAUGUUUUGU